rnacentral:rRNA from 1 species
AUUGAACGCUGGCGGCAGGCCUAACACAUGCAAGUCGAACGGUAGCACAGAGGAGCUUGCUCCUUGGGUGACGAGUGGCGGACGGGUGAGUAAUGUCUGGGAAACUGCCCGAUGGAGGGGGAUAACUACUGGAAACGGUAGCUAAUACCGCAUAACGUCGCAAGACCAAAGAGGGGGACCUUCGGGCCUCUUGCCAUCGGAUGUGCCCAGAUGGGAUUAGCUAGUAGGUGGGGUAACGGCUCACCUAGGCGACGAUCCCUAGCUGGUCUGAGAGGAUGACCAGCCACACUGGAACUGAGACACGGUCCAGACUCCUACGGGAGGCAGCAGUGGGGAAUAUUGCACAAUGGGCGCAAGCCUGAUGCAGCCAUGCCGCGUGUAUGAAGAAGGCCUUCGGGUUGUAAAGUACUUUCAGCGAGGAGGAAGGCGUUGUGGUUAAUAACCGCAGCGAUUGACGUUACUCGCAGAAGAAGCACCGGCUAACUCCGUGCCAGCCGCCGCGGUAAAAGGG